UCGCCAGACCAUGUCCAAAUGUUAAAAAAGGCGAUAAGUUGGGUCCAAGCUACUCGGACUAGUACGAUUUAGCGUUUUCGUGCCGUCAUUUCCACUUCGAGAAAACAUCAUUUAUAAAGUAAAAUGCAGUUUUGUGACGCAUAGCCUACUUGGUCAAUCUAUCAAUAAAUGAGUUAUCUAGGUUCGCGUUGAUAUGGACGAAAGGUUUGGGUCGACAUGCUUUCGUGAGAUUUUAGCCAAUAUUGAGGGUGAAUAAAACAGGAAUUCGUCAAGUCGCAACAUACGAAGUGUACAUGUGUCAUGGCGUGACGAGUGGGGACCUUCGUGGCCAUGUUUUGGCAUGAUUUCGGAGAUUCAGACGGAAAUCUCAAAGACCUAUUGGUUGUCUCUCGGACGCUGUGGAGGAGGUUUGCCUGAGACAGUUCUUCUUAUGCGGAGUGUACGGCAUUCCACCAUGACACGCAGAUGACGUACCCUGCCCUGACGAAGGAUACCUUCAGAAAAUUUGACAAUUUUCAUCGGUUUUGAAGAGUUUCCUCCUAUUUCUGGAUUGAAGAUGGCAACGACAUGCAUGGCCGGGUAUAAUGGACAAGCUUUGGAUUCCUCCGCAUCUGAUCUGUACUACCCACCCAUUGCGAUUGAACUCCGUAUCAGUUCCUGACCAUGCCAUGACAUGGCCAUGUUCAUUCAAACAGCCCAACCCCCACUCUGAACCUUUCUAAAUAGUCCAUGGUGUGGAGUACAUGUACAAAUACUUUUAGUGUGAUCUGAAUUGGGAGUGGUAGGUGUAGUCUGUUCGCUGCCUCCCUGUCCCAUAUGCUUGAAUAACAUAGUUGACGUAAACAUUUCAUAAUGAAUAUCUUACUGCCGGGGGCGGGGGGGGGUUUGAGAGAAUUGAGAUAGUUUGGGAAUUUAGGAGAUAACUGGAGGUAAUCUUUGAUCAGGACAGUUUCUGUUUUGUCCUUAUUGCCAUUUCAGAUGGUAUAUAUCUUGUCAAUGUCACCACAAACUGACACUUGCGCACACUUGAGUAUUUACAGAUUCGGGAUAUUUUGGGUUUCACAAACUGACAUCCCCCACAGUGCAACACUUUUAGAGCGCACCCAUGCAUUUUCGGUUUCACGAACUGACACUGAUCUUAAUUUUACCAAUUAAAUCGCUUUUUAAUGCAAAAUUUGUACAUGUAUAAUCGCACAAGUACACGGAUAUUGCCGCAUCAUGCUUGGGUGUCAGUUCGUGAAAACAAAAAUGUACGGGGUGCGCUCUAAAAGUGCCGCACUGUGGCGGAUAUCAGUUCGUAAAACCCAAAAUAUCCCGGUUCUGUAAACACGCGCGCGUACAGCGCACACACGGGUGCGAGAGUGUCGUUCGUAGUGACGAUGACAAUCUGUACCUGAUUUCAUGAAACUUAUUGUAACCUACGAUGCAUCGUUGUAUCCCUAGGAUGACGCAUCCUGUGAUUCAUUUUACAAAAUAUGCUGUAAGUGCGACACGUCGUAGUGUAUUCAAA
rnacentral:lncRNA from 1 species